GACCAAAAGAUUUAGUUAUGUAAAUAGGUAUAAAAGAUAGUUAAGUAUUAUAAAGUUUGAUAAUUUUUUAUAAAAAGGUAAAAUUUGAAUAUAAAAAAAUGAUUUUUAUGUAGCUGACAUGCUGAAGCUGUGAUAAUUUUGAGGGAAACUGGGAUUAGAUACCCCAUUAUUCAUAAUUGUAAAUUAAUGAAAAUUUACCAGAGUACUAUGAAUAAAUAAAAUUUAAAACUCAAAGGGCUUGGCGGUGUUUUAGACCAAUUAGGGGAACCUGUCUCAUAAUCGACAAUCCACGAUAUACCUAACCUUUUUUAGUAGACAGUUUGUAUACCGUCGUCGUCAGGUAACUUUUAAAAAUUAAGAAGUUAGCAUAGAUAAUUAAUAGUAAAUUGAGACGUCAGAUCAAGGUGCAGCUUAUAAAAGGGAGAGGAUGGGUUACAAUUAUAAAAUUAUAAUUAUGGAUGGUUUAAUGGAAAAAGCUUUAAGGAGGACUUAAAAGUAAUGUUGUCAUAUAUAAAUGAUUUGAAUUAGGCUCUGAAACGUGC
rnacentral:rRNA from 1 species